GAGGACCGUAUUCAUGGAAGAGGAUUGAACAGAAGCAGAUGAAUAUAUGGGAGAUGAAGUAGACAGUAUGUUGGAUAAAUCUGGAGUAAAGAACCCAGCAAUUGGUAAAGAUGAGAAUAUAUCGCCUCAAGUAAAAGGAGAUGAAGACAUGGGAGAUGAAAUUGACAGUAUGUUGGCUACAUCUGGAGCUGCAUCAUUGGACUGAAAGUGAAUGGCCCAUGUGUUGCCACUGAUGUGAGCCAUUUGCCUGUUGUGCUUCA
rnacentral:precursor_RNA from 1 species